AAAUAUUGAAUUUUAGAUUUGGUUAGCCAACCAAGAAGAUCGAAAAUCUAGCUAAUACUGUUAUCCGGCUGGCUUGUCAAAGAAAAAAAAAAUUAAAUGAGUCAAUUAUUAUUUCAACAUAAUAUCGACAUUGCAAGCUUGACUUAACCAAUUUUAGCCUACAGUUGUAGUGAGAAUGCUUUGAAAUUCCUUUCUGGCUGCUUAGUAUGUCGACAUAUUAUCAACACUUUGCUAUUUUUCAAUCCUUGAGAUUCCCAUCCAAAUUUUCAACUAGCCAGUCCCUAAUUGCAGGCCACUUUUAAUUCUGUGGUCAAAUUAAUUAUUUCGUCUAAUAAUUACCAUAAUUUUACAAAACGAAGAAACAACCCAUAUACAGAAGUUUGAUUCUACUCGUAACUUGAUUCUUACGGAAUCGUGUCCUCAUUAUUUCUUCAAAGCUACUUUUGAGAUGAUCAUCGAACGCUAAAGCGAAUUAAACCUUAAUUGGCACUUAGCGUUUUAUCCAAUCUCUUCUGUUUGUUCUAUUAAUUUCUUUUAUUUUGUUUUCUUAUUCUCUUUCAGUUUCAGUACUCGAUGGGGUCGGUGCAUGGGUCACAAUGAUUUUAUGAUGCUCUAGAGAUCAACAAUCACGCGCUUUCACAUAAACUCUGCACUAUAAACAAUUUCCUCUCAAAUAUUCUCAUCAUACAAAAAUAAAAAUCGUGAUAUUGUUUUCAGAUUUCAGAUUCUUUAACAUGAUCACUUCUCAUCGUCUUUUCAUCACUUUCUUUUGCAUUCUUCUAAUACUACUUCCCAACGUAGUACGAGGAGAAUGCACGUGCGAUCCUGAAGACGAUGAUCGAGACAAGACUCAAGCCUUAAAAUAUAAACUCGCCGCCAUCGCUUCGAUACUCGUGGCCGGAGCCAUCGGAGUUUUACUUCCGGUCCUCGGAAAAACUAUCAAGGCACUAAGUCCGGAGAGAAAUAUUUUCUUCCUAAUCAAGGCCUUCGCCGCCGGAGUUAUAUUAUCGACGGGGUUCAUCCACGUGCUUCCCGACGCCUUCGAGAACUUAACGUCGCCCUGCCUCGAUGAACAUCCAUGGGGGGAUUUUCCGUUCACCGGAUUCGCUGCCAUGGUUGCUGCUAUCGGGACUCUGAUGAUUGAUGCUUUUGCAACUUCUUAUGCGACUUCUUAUUAUCGCAAGUCUCACUUUGGUGAAGCGGAGAAUAACGUAUCAGAUGAAGAGAAAGUUGGGGAGCAUGCAGGUCACGUGCAUGUUCAUACCCAUGCAACUGAUGGGCAUGCUCAUGGAUUUCUUGAAUAUUCCGGUGAAUCGGAGCUUCUACGACACCGUGUCAUAUCUCUGGUAUAACUUAUUUAUUUAUUUUUAAUUUUUCAUGCACAUAUAAAACGAUGGUGAAUUUUUAUUUAUUUUUUUGAAGUUUCAUUUUGGUUAUUUUUUUCAUUAGGUUUUGGAGUUGGGAAUUCUUGUGCACUCGGUAAUAAUUGGAAUUUCCUUGGGAGCUUCUGAGAGUCCAAAAACCAUUAAGCCUUUGGUUGCAGCGUUGACUUUUCAUCAAUUCUUUGAAGGAAUGGGUCUUGGUGGUUGCAUUACGCAGGUAAUUAGGAUUUUCUUUUUAUGAUUAAAUUAAGUUUGACCAAUUUGACAGUUUUCCAUUUUUUCUCAUUAAUAUUGUUUUUACUUUGUAAGUUUUAGUUAAAAUGCUUCAUACAUGUACAUGGUGCUAACUAGCCAUAAGAAUUAAUUAUCAAAGCACUUUUUAUUUUGGAAAACUUUUUUUUGGUUAGAAAAAGGAAAAACUUAUUUGAAGUCUUAAAAUUCUCUGUUUUUUUUUUUUUACGCUGUUGACUAUAUGUGUGUACACAUAUGUAAUACUAAAGUCUUUUUGUGACAAUAUCCACCUAUGUACAAUCAAGUGGACAAUCUGGCUCCAAAUUUCAGUAGUAAUUGAUGUUAACAAUUUUGUUUUAACGUGUUCGUUUUUAUAGGCAAAAUUCAAGUCUCGAGGAGUUGCAAUAUUGGCCUUGUUCUUCUCUUUGACGACCCCAGUUGGGAUAGCAAUAGGCAUUGGAAUAUCAAGUGUUUAUGACGAAAAUAGCCCCACCGCUCUUAUUGUUGAAGGAAUAUUCAAUGCAGCAGCAGCCGGAAUCCUAAUAUACAUGUCCUUGGUGGAUCUUCUUGCUGCAGAUUUUAUGAAUCCAAAGAUGCAAACCAAUAAAAGGCUUCAGUUUGGAGCAAAUGUUUCUCUUCUUUUAGGCGCUGGUUGCAUGUCUUUGUUAGCCAAAUGGGCUUAAAAUUCAUUCAGAUUUUGUCUACAAUUUUUCUUCAUCCAAUAGUUUAAUUAAUUUGCGGCAGUUUUUGUACGGACAUUUUUUUUUUUAAAAUUUUACCAUUUAAUUAGUCGCCACAAAAGUUUAUAAUUUUAAAUAAAUUGACUAAUUGCCCCUCUUUUUGACACUUUUUCAUGGAAUGCAAAAGUCCUGUGCCCCGAGUGAGGGGAAAACAAUAAAAAUAAAUAAAAAGACACUCAAGACACAUGAGAUUCUAAUUUGGGCAAAUAUUAUUCCAAUAUGAUAGCCCAAUCGCUUAGCCUCUUUUUGUUUUGGCACCCUACCAACUCUUUUAAAACCCUUUCACUUAUUUGCUCCUUUUUCCGUUUAUUACAAUAAGAACCUUAUUUUAAAAUUUCUUCAUCAAACAUGGAAACCAGUUAUCCAAUCGUCCUCUUCGAACCCCGUAAUCCUAUAUAUAUAUAUAUAUAUAUAUAUAUAUUCUUUCUGAUUCUUCUUAUUCUCUCACUCUUGUUUCCAUUUUUUUUUCGCCUUCUCUCAUCUUUAGAUUCUUUUAAUCUAUUUUCAUUGCUUCCGAAAAUAAAAGAAAUAAAAAAUUUUAAUCAAACGUAUAAAUUAAUGAAAUUGUUAAUUUGUUGUACUGCAAAUACCAAUUAAAACUCGCAAUUCUCACUAACGAAAAUUUACUGGGGCAAUGAAAAUAGAAAAAAAAGUAUUACUUUAAAACUCCAAACAAAAAAUGUAACAAUUUAUUUAAUAUCUAUUUGUUAAGUACCCAUUCUGAUUUUCUAAUAGUGUUUGUAACGAGUCUUUGAGAUAUUAUUAUUAUUUGGAAACUUGAUUCUUUCUCUCUCUUCCCUUCCCCGGGGAAUAGCUAGGGUUUUUAGUCGCUAUUUUGGAAUUCCAAUAAGUUGGGUGAAUUCUCUGAUAACAGAAGAAAAUAUGUAUUAAUCUGGGGGUCACAUGUUUGUCCUUUGAUGUAAUUUUGCUGGAGACUACAAUUGUAAAAUACUCAAAAGGUGUUAUAAGAGUAUAAUGAAAGGAAGCCAUUAGUCCAACUUCUAACGAAAAUUGGAUGUACUAUGUUUGUUUGGUUUAGCCUAAAUGCCUAAUGGGUUUUGUUUAAAAAUAAAUAAAAAAUACUACAACAUUUUUAAGUUAUAUCAUUCAUCCACACUAAAUUUAUAAUUUAUAUUAUUCAUCCACCAAAUCAUUAGCUUCCAUUAGAAAGUAAUGAGGUCAUAAGGGUAAUUUAGAUAUUUAACAUGCUAAAUAAAAAAAAUAGAGAAAUUAACAGUCUGCCUUAAGUUUAAUUACUCAGUUAUAAAAAACAUUACAAAAGUUUAAAUUCGUUUAAUUUUCCACCCUAAAUUUGUAAUUUGUAUCGAUCAUCCACCAAAACAUUAACGGUUGUUUACAAUUAAUGACGUCACAAGGGUGAUUUAGGCAUUUAAUAUACUAAACAUAAAAUUAAAAUAAUAUUUUAAAAUAUAAAAAUAAAAAAUUCAUUUACAUAGCCAAUAUUCCAUUAUAUACACUUAAAACUCUAUUUUUUUUCCUUAAUAGAAAAAAAAAUCUGAUUUGACCUCUCAAUUUGUCUUCACCAAUUUGCAUAAUCAAACUAAAUCCACAAAUUAUCCUAAGUCCUAAUUCAUGAAGACCCAAUCAACCCAUCGUUAAAUUUGAUUUCAUAAUUUUAAAAAGCUAAAUUUUAUUGUAUUAUUAAUAGUGUGAAGUAAAAAUAUCCUUGAAUUCAAGAGUAAAAUGGUUAUUUUAUUUAAAUUCUAUUAAACAUUUGAAAUCAUUAUCUUAGCCUUUUUAUUUAAACUCUCUACUCACACUAAUUAAAGAUCUAAACUACCUAAUGUUUUAUUCAAGAAUGAGGCAACAAAUAAGUAUUAAGAUUUAGUGAGAGUUAAAUUUUUGUUGAGCACUGAAUUAAGAUGAUAAUUAUUUAAAUUUUUAUUUUUUUAUUUAUCUUGUUUAACAAUUAUUGAUUCAAUACUAAGUGAUUGUUUGGUAUGACUUAUUUGAUAACCAUAAGUGCUUAUUUAAUCCUAUAAGCUCUUAUCAUAAUUUUUGUUGUUGUUUGGUUGUUUUACUAAUAGAGAUUUUGAAGCUUAAAUAAGCUAUAUUACCUCCACUAGUAAAAGCUCAAAUUUUGAGCUUUUGGGAGUAGAUGUUAAAUUUUUUUUUUAAAAUGUCAAAAUAUCUAAAAUAUCCUCUAUUUAUUUAACAAUCUUAUUUAUUUUUUUCAUAAUAUAACUUUAAAAAGCUUGCCUAUUAAAGUAAUUUCAUAAAAUUUUAACUAAAACUCUUAUUGACAACCAAACAACUAAAUUGUUUUUUGUAAAAGCGCUAUUUACAAAAGCUCUACUAACAAAAACUCUAUUUAAACAAACUCUGUUUGAAAAGUUGUACCAAACGGAGCCUAAGUAAAAACUCCGCUCAGCAACCCUUAUCCACAACAAACAAUAUCCAUCUUUCAAAUUCCAGUACAAACUCUCACAUAUACUCUCCAUAAAAGAAACAAUUUACUCUCAAAUAUCUUCGUACCAAAAAUCAUAAAACGGCUUCAGGCUGCAAAUUCUUUCCAUGAUCACUUGAUUCAAUUCUCGUGGUCAUCACUAAACUCCGAUGGCUCCGGCUACGAGGAUCACACGUGCAUUCUCCUAUUACUUUGUGAUCCUCGUAUCGGAGCCGUCGGAUUUUUCUUCCGGUCUUCGGAAAACCAUCCCGGUAUUAAGUCCGGAGAAAAAAAAAAGUUUCUUGCCUUUGCCGCCGGAGUUAUAUUAUCAACCGGGUUCAUUAACGUGCUUCCCAACUCCUUUGAUACCUUGACAUCACAGUGCCUCGAUGAAAUCCCGUUCAUCGGAUUGAUUGAUGGUUGUUGCUAUCAGGACUCUGAUGACUUAUGCUUUUGCAACUUCCUAAGCUACUUCUUAUAAUCGUCGUGAUAAAACUGAGAAUCACAAUUGAGCAGAUGAAGAGAAAGUUGAAAGUUGGAAGCAUGCAAACUCAUGGCUCCGUUGAAUGUUCCGGUGAAUCGGAGCUUCUAUGAAGCCAUGUCAUAUCUCUGGUUAUAAUUUAUUAUAUUUGUCGUAUGAUAAUUUACUAUAUUUUCUUUUAUUUCGUGCGUACGUGAAUAUUUUUAUGAUAAAUUAAUUAACUUUGUUUUUUUUUUUAUAUAAAUAAUUGGAAUUUCAGUGGGUGCUUAAGCCUUCAUCAAUUCUUUGAAGGAGUGGUGCCGGUUGCACGUCUUUGUCUUUGUGUUUGUUAGCCAAAUGCGCAAGUUUAUAAUUUUUUUUAAUCGAAUUGUUACUAUUUAAUUAUUGGCUACGAGAGUUUAUAAUUUUAAGUACAUUGCUGUUUGAGCUCUGUUGUAAGUGGAUUGCUUUAUGAGUUCCGUCGUCGGUGAGAAAUUGCUCCUCUUUUGAAUCCAAAUUUAAUGGAUACUUACCAAAAAAAUAAUAAAAAAAAAAGAGAGAGAAAACGAAGACACUCAGACACGUGAAUUGUAGCAGAAUUAGUAAGAGAAUUUGCUAAUUCUGCUAGAAUUCAACAUAGGAUUGAUUAUUUGUAAAUAAUAUUCUCUUACUUUCCCUGAAGAACUUUACUCAACGGUGAGUUUUUAAAUAAUAAUUUUUAAAAGAUGAUCAAGAUCAUAUGAUGACGUUGAAGAAGAAGCUGACUGCUUAACAGUUGUGGUUUUAAAACUAAUAUGAUACAAUCUCACACUUAUAUUAUGAAUCAUCCUUAAUAUAUUUAUUAUAUUUAUUGAAAUUAUUAUUUAAAAGGUGUAAGAGAAUUUUUGUGAUUGCUAACGUGUCCUUUGUAAGGGAUUGGAGAAAUUGUACCCACGUCCUUCUUGAAGUAUCAAGAGAUAAAACAAAAAGUCGUGUGUCAGCUUUUGAUGGCUCUAGGUCUAGGAAACAACAUCUCAAAGAAAAAGAAUUCCGAAAAAUAUGUUAAAGGUCCACAUUUAAAGAGUACAGUGUAGGAGGAACCUGAAAUGAAGGGAGGCAAUAAGGAAGAUAUGCUGAGUGUUCUGCACAGAUUAUUUGGUACACUGACCAAGACUGAGAUCGAAUUUGUAGCAGCUAUAUGUUGGGUUUACGUGGCAUGCAAGGAACAAAUUCAUCUUUGAGGGGAAACUUAUCCCUAUAUAAUUGCAGGCCACUUUUAAUUCUGUGGUCAAAUUAAUUAUUUCGUCUAAUAAUUACCAUAAUUUUACAAAACGAAGAAACAACCCAUAUACAGAAGUUUGAUUCUACUCGUAACUUGAUUCUUACGGAAUCGUGUCCUCAUUAUUUCUUCAAAGCUACUUUUGAGAUGAUCAUCGAACGCUAAAGCGAAUUAAACCUUAAUUGGCACUUAGCGUUUUAUCCAAUCUCUUCUGUUUGUUCUAUUAAUUUCUUUUAUUUUGUUUUCUUAUUCUCUUUCAGUUUCAGUACUCGAUGGGGUCGGUGCAUGGGUCACAAUGAUUUUAUGAUGCUCUAGAGAUCAACAAUCACGCGCUUUCACAUAAACUCUGCACUAUAAACAAUUUCCUCUCAAAUAUUCUCAUCAUACAAAAAUAAAAAUCGUGAUAUUGUUUUCAGAUUUCAGAUUCUUUAACAUGAUCACUUCUCAUCGUCUUUUCAUCACUUUCUUUUGCAUUCUUCUAAUACUACUUCCCAACGUAGUACGAGGAGAAUGCACGUGCGAUCCUGAAGACGAUGAUCGAGACAAGACUCAAGCCUUAAAAUAUAAACUCGCCGCCAUCGCUUCGAUACUCGUGGCCGGAGCCAUCGGAGUUUUACUUCCGGUCCUCGGAAAAACUAUCAAGGCACUAAGUCCGGAGAGAAAUAUUUUCUUCCUAAUCAAGGCCUUCGCCGCCGGAGUUAUAUUAUCGACGGGGUUCAUCCACGUGCUUCCCGACGCCUUCGAGAACUUAACGUCGCCCUGCCUCGAUGAACAUCCAUGGGGGGAUUUUCCGUUCACCGGAUUCGCUGCCAUGGUUGCUGCUAUCGGGACUCUGAUGAUUGAUGCUUUUGCAACUUCUUAUGCGACUUCUUAUUAUCGCAAGUCUCACUUUGGUGAAGCGGAGAAUAACGUAUCAGAUGAAGAGAAAGUUGGGGAGCAUGCAGGUCACGUGCAUGUUCAUACCCAUGCAACUGAUGGGCAUGCUCAUGGAUUUCUUGAAUAUUCCGGUGAAUCGGAGCUUCUACGACACCGUGUCAUAUCUCUGGUAUAACUUAUUUAUUUAUUUUUAAUUUUUCAUGCACAUAUAAAACGAUGGUGAAUUUUUAUUUAUUUUUUUGAAGUUUCAUUUUGGUUAUUUUUUUCAUUAGGUUUUGGAGUUGGGAAUUCUUGUGCACUCGGUAAUAAUUGGAAUUUCCUUGGGAGCUUCUGAGAGUCCAAAAACCAUUAAGCCUUUGGUUGCAGCGUUGACUUUUCAUCAAUUCUUUGAAGGAAUGGGUCUUGGUGGUUGCAUUACGCAGGUAAUUAGGAUUUUCUUUUUUAUGAUUAAAUUAAGUUUGACCAAUUUGACAGUUUUCCAUUUUUUCUCAUUAAUAUUGUUUUUACUUUGUAAGUUUUAGUUAAAAUGCUUCAUACAUGUACAUGGUGCUAACUAGCCAUAAGAAUUAAUUAUCAAAGCACUUUUUAUUUUGGAAAACUUUUUUUUGGUUAGAAAAAGGAAAAACUUAUUUGAAGUCUUAAAAUUCUCUGUUUUUUUUUUUUUACGCUGUUGACUAUAUGUGUGUACACAUAUGUAAUACUAAAGUCUUUUUGUGACAAUAUCCACCUAUGUACAAUCAAGUGGACAAUCUGGCUCCAAAUUUCAGUAGUAAUUGAUGUUAACAAUUUUGUUUUAACGUGUUCGUUUUUAUAGGCAAAAUUCAAGUCUCGAGGAGUUGCAAUAUUGGCCUUGUUCUUCUCUUUGACGACCCCAGUUGGGAUAGCAAUAGGCAUUGGAAUAUCAAGUGUUUAUGACGAAAAUAGCCCCACCGCUCUUAUUGUUGAAGGAAUAUUCAAUGCAGCAGCAGCCGGAAUCCUAAUAUACAUGUCCUUGGUGGAUCUUCUUGCUGCAGAUUUUAUGAAUCCAAAGAUGCAAACCAAUAAAAGGCUUCAGUUUGGAGCAAAUGUUUCUCUUCUUUUAGGCGCUGGUUGCAUGUCUUUGUUAGCCAAAUGGGCUUAAAAUUCAUUCAGAUUUUGUCUACAAUUUUUCUUCAUCCAAUAGUUUAAUUAAUUUGCGGCAGUUUUUGUACGGACAUUUUUUUUUUUUAAUUUUACCAUUUAAUUAUUCGCCACAAAAGUUUAUAAUUUUAAAUAAAUUGACUAAUUGCCCCUCUUUUUGACACUUUUUCAUGGAAUGCAAAAGUCCUGUGCCCCGAGUGAGGGGAAAACAAUAAAAAUAAAUAAAAAGACACUCAAGACACAUGAAAUUCUAAUUUGGGCAAAUAUUAUUCCAAUAUGAUAGCCCAAUCGCUUAGCCUCUUUUUGUUUUGGCACCCUACCAACUCUUUUAAAACCCUUUCACUUAUUUGCUCCUUUUUCCGUUUAUUACAAUAAGAACCUUAUUUUAAAAUUUCUUCAUCAAACAUGGAAACCAGCUAUCCAAUCGUCCUCUUCGAACCCCGUAAUCCUAUAUAUAUAUAUAUAUAUAUAUAUAUAUAUUCUUUCUGAUUCUUCUUAUUCUCUCACUCUUGUUUCCAUUUUUUUUUCGCCUUCUCUCAUCUUUAGAUUCUUUUAAUCUAUUUUCAUUGCUUCCGAAAAUAAAAGAAAUAAAAAAUUUUAAUCAAACGUAUAAAUUAAUGAAAUUGUUAAUUUGUUGUACUGCAAAUACCAAUUAAAACUCGCAAUUCUCACUAACGAAAAUUUACUGGGGCAAUGAAAAUAGAAAAAAAAGUAUUACUUUAAAACUCCAAACAAAAAAUGUAACAAUUUAUUUAAUAUCUAUUUGUUAAGUACCCAUUCUGAUUUUCUAAUAGUGUUUGUAACGAGUCUUUGAGAUAUUAUUAUUAUUUGGAAACUUGAUUCUUUCUCUCUCUUCCCUUCCCCGGGGAACAGCUAGGGUUUGUAGUCGCUAUUUUGGAAUUCCAAUAAGUUGGGUGAAUUCUCUGAUAACAGAAGAAAAUAUGUAUUAAUCUAGGGGUCACAUGUUUGUCCUUUGAUGCAAUUUUGCUGGAGACUACAAUUGUAAAAUACUCAAAAGGUGUUAUAAGAGUAUAAUGAAAGGAAGCCAUUAGUCCAACUUCUAACGAAAAUUGGAUGUACUAUGUUUGUUUGGUUUAGCCUAAAUGCCUAAUGGGUUUUGUUUAAAAAAAAAAUAAAAAAUACUACAACAUUUUUAAGUUAUAUCAUUCAUCCACACUAAAUUUAUAAUUUAUAUUAUUCAUCCACCAAAUCAUUAGCUUCCAUUAGAAAGUAAUGAGGUCAUAAGGGUAAUUUAGAUAUUUAACAUGCUAAAUAAAAAAAUAGAGAAAUUAACAGUCUGCCUUAAGUUUAAUUAGUCAGUUAUAAAAAACAUUACAAAAGUUUAAAUUCGUUUAAUUUUCCACCCUAAAUUUGUAAUUUGUAUCGAUCAUCCACCAAAACAUUAACGGUUGUUUACAAUUAAUGACGUCACAAGGGUGAUUUAGGCAUUUAAUAUACUAAACAUAAAAUUAAAAUAAUAUUUUAAAAUAUAAAAAUAAAAAAUUCAUUUACAUAGCCAAUAUUCCAUUAUAUACACUUAAAACUCUAUUUUUUUUCCUUAAUAGAAAAAAAAAAUCUGAUUCGACCUCUCAAUUUGUCUUCACCAAUUUGCAUAAUCAAACUAAAUCCACAAAUUAUCCUAAGUCCUAAUUCAUGAAGACCCAAUCAACCCAUCGUUAAAUUUGAUUUCAUAAUUUUAAAAAGCUAAAUUUUAUUGUAUUAUUAAUCGUGUGAAGUAAAAAUAUCCUUGAAUUCAAGAGUAAAAUGGUUAUUUUAUUUAAAUUCUAUUAAACAUUUGAAAUCAUUAUCUUAGCCUUUUUAUUUAAACUCUCUACUCACACUAAUUAAAGAUCUAAACUACCUAAUGUUUUAUUCAAGAAUGAGGCAACAAAUAAGUAUUAAGAUUUAGUGAGAGUAAAAUUUUUGCUGAGCACUGAAUUAAGAUUAUAAUUAUUUAAAUUUUUAUUUUUUUAUUUAUCUUGUUUAACAAUUAUUGAUUCAAUACUAAGUGAUUGUUUGGUAUGACUUAUUUAAUAACCAUAAGUGCUUAUUUAAUCCUAUAAGCUCUUAUCAUAAUUUUUGUUGUUGUUUGGUUGUUUUACUAAUAGAGAUUUUGAAGCUUAAAUAAGCUAUAUUACAUCUACUAGUAAAAGCUCAAAUUUUGAGCUUUUGGGAGUAGAUGUUAAAUUUUUUUUUUAAAUGUCAAAAUAUCUAAAAUAUCCUCUAUUUAUUUAACAAUCUUAUUUAUUUUUUUCAUAAUAUAACUUUAAAAAGCUUGCCUAUUAAAGUAAUUUCAUAAAAUUUUAACUAAAACUCUUAUUGACAACCAAACAACUAAAUUGUUUUUUGUAAAAGCGCUAUUUACAAAAGCUCUACUAACUAAAACUCUAUUUAAACAAACUCUGUUCGAAAAGUUGUACCAAACAGAGCCUAAGUAAAAACUCAGCUCAGCAACCCUUAUCCACAACAAACAAUAUCCAUCUUUCAAAUUCCAGUACAAAGUCUCACAUAUACUCUCCAUAAAAGAAACAAUUUACUCUCAAAUAUCUUCGUACCAAAAAUCAUAAAACGGCUUCAGGCUGCAAAUUCUUUCCAUGAUCACUUGAUUCAAUUCUCGUGGUCAUCACUAAACUCCGAUGGCUCCGGCUACGAGGAUCACACGUGCAUUCUCCUAUUACUUUGUGAUCCUCGUAUCGGAGCCGUCGGAUUUUUCUUCCGGUCUUCGGAAAACCAUCCCGGUAUUAAGUCCGGAGAAAAAAAAAAGUUCCUUGCCUUUGCCGUCGGAGUUAUAUUAUCAACCGGGUUCAUUAACGUGCUUCCCAACUCCUUUGAUGCCUUGACAUCGCAGUGCCUCGAUGAAAUCCCGUUCACCGGAUUGAUUGAUGGUUGUUGCUAUCAGGACUCUGAUGACUUAUGCUUUUGCAACUUCCUAAGCUACUUCUUAUAAUCGUCGUGAUAAAACUGAGAAUCACAAUUGAGCAGAUGAAGAGAAAGUUGAAAGUUGGAAGCAUGCAAACUCAUGGCUCCGUUGAAUGUUCCGGUGAAUCGGAGCUUCUAUGAAGCCAUGUCAUAUCUCUGGUUAUAAUUUAUUAUAUUUGUCAUAUGAUAAUUUACUAUAUUUUCUUUUAUUUCGUGCGUACGUGAAUAUUUUUAUGAUAAAUUAAUUAACUUUGUUUUUUUUUUUUAUAUAAAUAAUUGGAAUUUCAGUGGGUGCUUAAGCCUUCAUCAAUUCUUUGAAGGAGUGGUGCCGGUUGCACGUCUUUGUCUUUGUGUUUGUUAGCCAAAUGCGCAAGUUUAUAAUUUUUUUUAAUCGAAUUGUUACUAUUUAAUUAUUGGCUACGAGAGUUUAUAAUUUUAAGUACAUUGCUGUUUGAGCUCUGUUGUAAGUGGAUUGCUUUAUGAGUUCCGUCGUUGGUGAGAAAUUGCUCCUCUUUUGAAUCCAAAUUUAAUGGAUACUUACCAAAAAAAAUAAUAAAAAAAAAAGAGAGAGAAAACGAAGACACUCAGACACGUGAAUUGUAGCAGAAUUAGUAAGAGAAUUUGCUAAUUCUGCUAGAAUUCAACAUAGGAUUGAUUAUUUGUAAAUAAUAUUCUCUUACUUUCCCUGAAGAACUUUACUCAACGGUGAGUUUUUAAAUAAUAAUUUUUAAAAGAUGAUCAAGAUCAUAUGAUGACGUUGAAGAAGAAGCUGACUGCUUAACAGUUGUGGUUUUAAAACUAAUAUGAUACAAUCUCACACUUAUAUUAUGAAUCAUCCUUAAUAUAUUUAUUAUAUUUAUUGAAAUUAUUAUUUAAAAGGUGUAAGAGAAUUUUUGUGAUUGCUAACGUGUCCUUUGUAAGGGAUUGGAGAAAUUGUACCCACGUCCUUCUUGAAGUAUCAAGAGAUAAAACAAAAAGUCGUGUGUCAGCUUUUGAUGGCUCUAGGUCUAGGAAACAACAUCUCAAAGAAAAAGAAUUCCGAAAAAUAUGUUAAAGGUCCACAUUUAAAGAGUACAGUGUAGGAGGAACCUGAAAUGAAGGGAGGCAAUAAGGAAGAUAUGCUGAGUGUUCUGCACAGAUUAUUUGGUACACUGACCAAGACUGAGAUCGAAUUUGUAGCAGCUAUAUGUUGGGUUUACGUGGCAUGCAAGGAACAAAUUCAUCUUUGAGGGGAAACUUAUCCCUAUAUAAUUGCAGGCCACUUUUAAUUCUGUGGUCAAAUUAAUUAUUUCGUCUAAUAAUUACCAUAAUUUUACAAAACGAAGAAACAACCCAUAUACAGAAGUUUGAUUCUACUCGUAACUUGAUUCUUACGGAAUCGUGUCCUCAUUAUUUCUUCAAAGCUACUUUUGAGAUGAUCAUCGAACGCUAAAGCGAAUUAAACCUUAAUUGGCACUUAGCGUUUUAUCCAAUCUCUUCUGUUUGUUCUAUUAAUUUCUUUUAUUUUGUUUUCUUAUUCUCUUUCAGUUUCAGUACUCGAUGGGGUCGGUGCAUGGGUCACAAUGAUUUUAUGAUGCUCUAGAGAUCAACAAUCACGCGC
rnacentral:lncRNA from 1 species